rfam:Oryza nivara chromosome 11, whole genome shotgun sequence.
UUUAAGUGCAACCAUAGGUUUUCACGUUUAACUUUGAUUGUUCGUCUUAUUUAAACAUUUUUUUAUAAUUAGUAUUUUGUUAUUAUAAGAUGAUAAAACAUGAAUAAUACUUUACUCGUGACUUAUGUUUUUAAAUUUUUUUGAAAAAAUUAUAAUAAGACGGAUGGUUAAAGUUGGGCGCGGUAAAUCAUGGCUAGACUUAGA